rnacentral:lncRNA from 12 species
ACUCUGUAAUUCUCUGGUUCUGGUUACUGGAGCCCUCCCACAGACUCCAGGACUUGGUUUAGAAAUCUCCCUGCCUUUCCCAACUUAGCUCAUAAUGAUCUCAUACAAAAAUUUGGACUUCUCAGAAGAGACGCUGAAACAAUGGGAACUAUGGAGGCUGCGUUAUUCUUACCAUUUGACUAAAUCUGGACAACAUCCAGCUUGACAGAGUCCGCUCAAGUCUGUCUCCAAGUCAUCCCUGAACCACUGGCAUGAGAAGUAGGCACUUGCUAGAAAUGUGGAUGCCUCUCUGGACCUACUCUUCAUUCAGAAUCUCUAUGGUCUGUACCCAGGAAUCUGAAUUGUAAACCAGCUUCCUGUUGAUCUUUGCCCCUGCAGGAAACAGAUGACACACUCAAAUGAGGAUCAUCUGAGGGAUGUUUAAUAAAGAGGCCGCUCUCCAAGAGAUGUUCACCUCCUAGAGAUCAGCUCCUGGGGCGGUGGACACUUAAAUCAGCAAGCAGAUGCAUGGAAAGAAAAGAGACCCAAGCAAUUGCUCAAAUAUCUCAUUGUGGAUACAGAUGGCUCUCUUCCAGGUCUAGGAACAGAGUACAGCCCAAGGUGCCACUAUCGCAUAGGAUACAGCCCAAAUCUCAAGGGUUUAGCGCCUGCCUUUGGCCCAGGGCAUGAUCCUGGAGUCCUGGGAUCAAAUCCCACAUUGGGCUCCCUGCAUGGAGCCUGCUUCUCUCUCUCUCUCUCUCUCUCUCUCUCUCUCAUGAAUAAAUAAAUAAAAUCUUAAAAAAAAUAUGCAGCCCAAGUGUGGAAGUCUUCCCUUCAUCAUAAACCAGGUCAAUGUAGUAACAGUAAAAACACAGCAAUACGAAGUUAUGGGGGAAGGUAUUUCUGUUUUCAAAACUUAGUUUUGAAAAACAAAGCAAGUAGGCUUCUUUGAAAAACAUGAC